AGUGAACGCUGGCGGUAGGCCUAACACAUGCGAGUCGAACGGCAGCACAGUAAGAGCUUGCUCUUACGGGUGGCGAGUGGCGGACGGGUGAGGAAUACAUCGGAAUCUACUUUUUCGUGGGGGAUAACGUAGGGAAACUUACGCUAAUACCGCAUACGACCUACGGGUGAAAGCAGGGGAUCUUCGGACCUUGCGCGAUUGAAUGAGCCAAUGUCGGAUUAGCUAGUUGGCGGGGUAAAGGCCCACCAAGGCGACGAUCCGUAGCUGGUCUGAGAGGAUGAUCAGCCACACUGGAACUGAGACACGGUCCAGACUCCUACGGGAGGCAGCAGUGGGGAAUAUUGGACAAUGGGCGCAAGCCUGAUCCAGCCAUACCGCGUGGGUGAAGAAGGCCUUCGGGUUGUAAAGCCCUUUUGUUGGGAAAGAAAAGCAGCAGGUUAAUACCCCGCUGUUCUGACGGUACCCAAAGAAUAAGCACCGGCUAACUUCGUG
rnacentral:rRNA from 1 species